UACGAAGGGGGCUAGCGUUGUUCGGAAUUACUGGGCGUAAAGCGUAUGCAGGCGGAUCGUUAAGUCGGGGGUGAAAUCCCGAGGCUCAACCUCGGAACUGCCUUCGAUACUGGCGACCUUCGAGUCCGGGAGAGGUGAGUGGAACUCCGAGUGUAGAGGUGAAAUGCGCAGAUAUCAGGAGGAACACCAAUGGCGAAGGCAGCUCGCUGGGACGGUACUGACGCUGAGACGCGAAAGCGUGGGGAGCAAACAGG
rnacentral:rRNA from 1 species